CCAUGAAGGGCUUGUGCCUCUUCGUAAAGAAGGCCCUAUUCAUGAUGUUCAAUGGUCCUAUUCGGGUAAAGAAUUUGCAGUUGUUUAUGGAUUUAUGCCUGCUAUGGCCACGGUUUUUGACAAGAAGUGCAAUCCUCUACUUGAGCUUGGAACAGGCCCAUACAACACUAUCAGAUGGAAUCCAUUGGGGAAUUUUAUAUGCUUGGCAGGCUUUGGUAACUUACCAGGAGACAUGGCAUUCUGGGACUACAGGGAAAAGAAGCAACUUGGAACUACAAGGGCUGAAUUGUCAGUGACAAGUGAAUGGUCUCCUGAUGGUCGAUACUUUAUGACUGCCACAACAGCUCCACGUCUUCAAGUUGAUAAUGGGGUUAAAGUCUUUCACCACAAUGGAUCAUUGUACUUCAAGAAGAUGUUUGAUAGAUUGUAUCAGGUUGAUUGGAAGCCAGAAUCAGUUGAAAAAUUUGGAGACAUUGAAGACCUUGUGAAGGCAGUUAGCUCGGUGAAAAUAGAUGAAGCGAAAGUGCCAGGGAAAGGAUCGAAAGCUACGCAGGCCGCUCCAAAAGCUACACAGGCCGUUCCAAAAGCUACACCUGCCAAUCCUCCUGCAGCAAAACCUGCUGCUUAUCGUCCACCUCAUGCCAAAGCUGCUGCUGUAGUUCAAGCAGAGUUAUUUGGAGCAAGUCCUUCAGGGGAGCUUAGCAAGAAUGCAUUGAAAAACAAGAAAAAGCGGGAGAAGAAAAAGCAAGCCGAGGCUGCAUCUGCAGCCGGAGGUUCGUGAUCAGAGGCAACUCUGCUGAAUAGGCUGUCUUGACAUGCACAAAACAAAGGGGCCUAAAGUAACAGGAGGUUUUCAUGGACCAUCAUACGUCCUGGGAGAUAUUUGAUUUGGUUUAAGAUAAUCGAAAAUAUCACCUAGUACAUUACAUAAAGCAAAUUUUUGAUUCAUAUAUUCUUUUUUAAAAUAUAGUUUUCAGCCCCUGUACUAGAGCUGAAACAAAAUUCACCUUUUUGAGUCUAACCCUG
rnacentral:misc_RNA from 1 species